GACGAACGCUGGCGGCGUGCUUAACACAUGCAAGUCGAACGGAAAGGCCCUGCUUUUGUGGGGUGCUCGAGUGGCGAACGGGUGAGUAACACGUGAGUAACCUGCCCUUGACUUUGGGAUAACUUCAGGAAACUGGGGCUAAUACCGGAUAGGAGCUCCUGUUGCAUGGUGGGGGUUGGAAAGUUUCGGCGGUUGGGGAUGGACGCGCGGCUUAUCAGCUUGUUGGUGGGGUAGUGGCUUACCAAGGCUUUGACGGGUAGCCGGCCUGAGAGGGUGACCGGCCACAUUGGGACUGAGAUACGGCCCAGACUCCUACGGGAGGCAGCAGUGGGGAAUAUUGCACAUUGGUCGGAAGCCUGAUGCAGCAACGCCGCGUGCGGGAUGACGGCCUUCGGGUUGUAAACCGCUUUCGCCUGUGACGAAGCGGGAGUGACGGUAAUGGGUAAAGAAGCACCGGCUAACUACGUG
rnacentral:rRNA from 1 species